CUUUAAACAGCAAUUAUGUUCAUCAAAGUAAGAUCUACAAAUAAGUCAACAUGAUCAAAAUGAUCAGUUGACCCCUUAAGGAGUUAUUGCCCUUAAUAGUAAUUUUUUACCAAUUUUUCAUAAAUUUUUGUUAUCUUUUACAAAAAUCUUCUCCUCUGAAACUACUGGACCAAAUUUAACGAAACUUAGCCAAAAUUAUAAUUAGGGUAUCU
rnacentral:lncRNA from 1 species